ensembl:ncRNA F44E2.12 ncRNA
CAAAGAAGACGAAUGCUAAAGGAAAAGGAUCCAAGAAAAAUAAUUUCGCUCAGCAAAAUGGGAAACGGCCAUUCAGA